GUUUUAGGAAAGAAUUAUAUUCAUGAUUUUAAAUGAAACAUUUGGGAGUGUCAUUUAAGACGUUUGGAAAAUUAUGUUCGAGCCCAGAGGUCGUCUACAACAUCCAGCCUUCUCGCAAUCCCCCAAGCAUUUAAAUAGAUAUCGUGAGCGUAAGGCCAGAAAGAAUAUAGUAUUUCCUGCAUCGGACGCAACAAAGGAACAAAGAUACCGAUGAGCGGUAUAACUUAACAUCUGUCGAACUUACCACGCGAGAAGGAAUUCUUAGGAAAACAAUGACUUAUUUUGAUCAAACCAAAGGAAAUAUAAGUUAUAAGCUGUUGUAACUAAUAUAAUUCUUGAUAUAAUAACCCCCGAAAAAUGGACUUUGGUGGCUCGGGAUAAGAGACUUGUAGUGUCUUUCAGUUUUUGAACAU